GGCUUCUCUAGAAGGGCUGUGUCAGGGAUAUGUUUCACUUCCUGGUUUUUAAAGUAAUAGAGUAUUUCUUCUCCUCUUAAACAUGCUGAUGUUUGUGCCACAUCCUCUGAGUACCCUCUGUAGGUGAAGACAGAUUACAGAGCACAGACAAUCAUUUUAAAUCUCUCCUUAACCAUACAAGAAGAAGCAGGAGAUAUGAGGGGAGCAGAACACAACCUUCAGAUACAGGUCUCCAUGGGAGCCAUAUGAAGACUCAAGGUUCUACAAGAAAGCAAGCUGAGCAAGCCAUGAAGAGCAAGGCCGUAUGCAGCACCCCUCCAUGGCCUCUGCAUCAGCUCCUACCUCCCUGCUUGAGUUUUGGCCCUGACUUUCUUCAAUAAUGAACAGCAAUGUGGAAGUGGAAGCCAAAUAAACCAUUUCCUCCCCAA
rnacentral:lncRNA from 1 species